ACGUUCACCAGAGUUUCUGCGUUCGCCGCCUGCUGUUGCGUCAGCUCCGAUGUUUCUUCUCUGCAACGCUUGACUACAGGACAUGACUUUCUUUAUCCCCAGCACCUGAUACGUGUUUGAUGAGUUUGGGCCCAGCGGUCAGUCGGAAGCCGCCAGCAAG